UAUUAAUCUUCCUCUGUCUGUCUUGUACAUUGACUAGAACCAUUGGAUAUGAGUGGGACGAUCUCCAUCCUCUCAUUUAUUAUUUAUUCUUAGUACUGUUCUGUGGUAAAUGUUCUCUUCCUUUUUAAGAUUCCAUUGUUCUUUUUAACCUGACUUGAGCAGUUCUAAAAUAUUGAAAGAUACAAUUUUAUUUUCCUUAAAUAUCUCAUCUCCUCUUGGAUUUGCACCCUAGAGCCAAGCACAAGAGAAGUUUUGCUAAAAAAAUAGACACUUUGGGGUGAUUAGAAUACGGAGAUAGUAAAUAACCACAAGCUGUGGACAUAGUGAACAUUUCAGCAAGGCUCAUAAUUUUCUAGUUCUACUUUGCCAUUUUUCUCUUUCAUCCUGAAGUUUCCAAUGCUAUAGAAAAUUUUUAAAAAUGUCUCUAAUCUCACUUUACAGCAUAAUUUCUUCGACUUUGUAACUUCCACAAGUAUAAGGAAUGAUGUAUGUACCUAGAUAGAAGGUCUCUCUGUCACUAACAGAAGUUCUGAUCUGUAGUUGCAGAUAUUCAUUUAUUCUCUGUAUCUCCACAGAUACAUAGCACAUAUCACUGGAGAGCCAGGUUUUGAAUCUAUAUAAUAAUUUUUAAAUUAAUUAAAAAGUUUAAUAAAAAUUCUGGAGGAGACUGUCUUAGGAAGUACAUAUCUACCAUUACUCGACUAAUAUAAGCAUGCAUUGCUGGACAUAUUUCAGAAGGUGGAUAAAAAUGACCAAGUCCUUAUCACUGAUGUCUGAAUAUCUUGCACGUUGGGGUUGGAGACAGUGACUGCAUUUGAAACAAGCUCAGAUGAUUUGGAACUGUUAUAAACUUCAAGUGUUUAUUGAAGGACAAGUUUUAAAUUGGAUGAGCAGAAGCUUAAAUAAAAUUUAAAACUCAACAGAAUUUGUAGCAACUGCUUAGAAAGUAGAUCAACAAAAGAUUUUUUCAGUAGGGAUAUUUCAUCACUAACAUUAUUUGGAAUCAUUGGCACAUGGUGAUAAUAGCAAACAGGUUGAGCUUUGUUGUUUUCAAAAUUGUUUUUAAACAAUCUGCAGGCAAUGCACCCUUUUGUUGACUGCAUUUUUUAUAACCAUCACCACCACUACAUACUUGGCAUUCUACUCCACUGCCACUCAAUCUUUCUCUCUUCCUGUUUAAUCCCAUUACCUAACUUUUAGAUUAUUUCUAUUAUAUCUAACUUCUACUAGUUUUUCAUAUCAUUACUACUUCUUAUGGAAUUUUUCCCUAAACUGAACUCCCUGAAUAAUACUGAAAUCGAUGCCUGAUAUUAUAAGCUCCCAGAUUCCGGCAUACUCUAUAUUUACAUUGCAAGUCAUCCAGCCUCUUUGUAAUAGUCCAUUUCCUAGUGUAUUUUUUCCAUAACACUACAAAUUCUAUAAAGACUGGGACUAUAUAUGACUCUCAGAAGUAGACAACCACUAAAGAGUGUUGAAUAACGAAAAACUUCAAUUCUACUUCUCUGUCAAGUAGCCCAAAUCCUAACAAGUGUAGACUGACUAGCUAGUUUUCCUCCAGCAUGUCAUGAGAUACAUCUUUUAUACUCUGU
rnacentral:lncRNA from 10 species